GGAGAUGCUGUUCCAUGGUUGAGAUGGUUUGAUUUUGGAGGGCAUGAGAAGGCAAUGAAAGAAACUGCAAAAGAGUUGGAUAUUAUUCUUGGUGAGGAGUUAGAGGAACACAGAAAAAGGAAGGGUUUGGGUGAGAAGGAUGAUGAAGUUCAAGAUUUCAUGGAUGUGAUGAUUUCAUUGUUUGAUGGAAUAACUAUUGAUGGGUUCGAUGCAGAUACCGUCAUCAAAUCCACUGUACUGGUAUGGAUCUUUAUUGCAUCUUAUUUUUUUUAUUAAAUCACAUUAUAACUUUAAAUUUUAUUGUACAAAAAUUAAGGUAUUAAAACCAAAACCAUUUAUGAAUUUGAGAAAGAUAAACAAAUAAUAUUAAAUAUUAAAUAACCAAAAUGUUGUGAAGAUGUUAUGAAUUAGGGAUUUAGUGUAAUUUUUUCUUGUAUCUCUAUCACUUUCUUCUUAGAUUUCAUACUUUGAAAAAUACUCAAAUUAUCUUUUAAUAUUUUUUAUUAAAUAUUUUUUCUUUAAUUUCGGAAUAUGCACGUUAACUUCCUGAUUUAUAAAAUUUAGAAGUUAAAAUUUGUGUUUGGGAUUUUACAAUAUUUCUGAUUGUACAAUUCAAAAUUUCAGAUUGUAUAAUUCAAAAUACAAUUUUUUAUAUCAAAUUAUAGAAUUUAAAAUGAAUAAUUUUAGAAUUUUUUACGAAUAUAAGACUGCAAGAUAAAUUAUGAGAUGAAGAAAUAAACUUUUAAAUUUUUAAAAAUGAGGAUUAUGGGGAUAGAUCACCUGUCUCACACUUGGCUUAUGCGGGUUAGGCGAAAUGAUUUAAAUUCUAAAUUUGGUAGCAAAAACUUUGUAGCUAAUUAGAUACAAAUUUAGAAAAUAUUUAACAAUAAUAGAAACUAAUUUAGAAACCAAAAAUUUGUUUAGUCUCUAAAAUGGUCUCUAAUUUAGUCAAUAUAGUAAUUAAUUAUUUUUUGUCUAUAAAAUUAGUUUCUAUUUAAUGAUUUUCUUGUACUGAUGAUUUGUUUAUGUUAUAGAAGAACUUGUGAAUAAGAUCAUAUCCUUAUUUUGUAGUUAGUGAUUGCAGGAGGAACUGACACAAGUAGUACUCUUCUUACGUGGGUAAUAUCUUUGAUUUUGAGAAAUCCUUUGGUAUUGGAAAAAGUAAAAGUUGAACUAGACAUUCAUGUUGGAAAAGAGAAAUGUGUAAGUGAGUCUCAUAUAAGCAAGUUAACAUAUCUUCAAGCCAUAGUCAAGGAAACAUUAAGAUUGUAUCCUCCUGGUCCUCUUUUGGCACCUCAUGAAAUUAUAGAGGACUGCAUUUUAAGUGGUUAUAAUAUAAAAAAAGGAACUCGUCUAAUCACAAAUCUUUGGAAGAUUCACACAGACAAGAAUGUUUGGGAAGAUCCAUUGGAGUUCAAACCUGAAAGGUUUCUUACAACUUACAAAGAUCUCGAUGUCAAAGGUCAUCAUUUUGAGCUAAUACCAUUUGGAGGUGGUAGAAGAAUGUGUCCAGGAAUAUCCUUUGGCCUUGAAGUAGUGCAAUUCUCUCUUGCUAGUAUUUUGCACUCUUUUGAAUUUUUAAGUUCAUCACCUGAUCCUAUUGACAUGACCGAAACCUUUGGAUUAACCAACACCAAAGGCACUCCACUUGAGAUUCUUAUUAAACCACGUCUAUCUUUUAGUUGUAACGAAAACAACUAAUCCAUGUGCUAGCUAUGCUGUCACAAUUUGUUUUCAUUUAAAGUACUUUUUUUCUAUAAUAUUGUUCAAAGUCUUUGUUAUCUUUGUAUUUUCAUUCAAAGUGCUUGAUAUAUUUGUACUUUCCUUCAAAGUACUUGAUAUAUUUAUAGUUUAUCUUGGUAAACUUUGAAACUCUUUCAAAUAUAUAUUAUUUUUAGUAGACUUUCUUUAUUGAGUCAGGUUAGAGAGUUGGACCGUAUUUAGAGAUUCAUUGCUUAAUUCUUAAUCGCGGAUUGAAGUGAUUAAUCCUAUUUGAACGUAAUUGUAUUUAUGUUGUCGAUCAGUUCAUUAAUGUGGAUUACGAUCUCGAUCGGUCACUGAUAAGUCUCGAGAGAUUACAUUAGUCGAUACAAUUAAUGAAUUGCUUAAUUGGUUAACCGUGACUGAUGAAGGUGUGCAAUAAUUGGAAACCAGAGGCAAAAUACAGAGUGCACUAAUUAGCUUAGCAAAUAAUAAGAAAGUGAUGCAUAACAGUUUCACAUAGAAAGAGUUUUGCAAAUCCUUCAACGGGUGGGUGCCAUUUUUACAUGCACCACAUCUCUUUUUUCAGGUAAGUCACGUACUACUUUAAUAUUUAUGUACCCUUUGAUUAAAUGCCUCAUUGGUCAAUGAGCUUACGAUUAUAACACAUCAUUUUCUUAUGCUUUCAUAUUAUAUUAAUAUUCAAAUGACCUACACUGCAAAAUGAUGUGUUAGUAUAACGUGUUUUAAUUUUAAUUAUAUCUCUAUACUUUUUUUCUAUUAGUUUUAAAAGUCUUCUCUUGAUUUGUGCGUCUUAUCUUUAGUCGGGGAUUCUUUGCAUUUUUCCAAUUUUCUCAUAUGUACCACGAGGAACAAAGUCUUGUUUUUUGAAUUUUCUUAGCAGUAAUAGAAUGAAAAUUUUGACUUAUAUGUAAAAAUAUUAUUCAGUAUUACUGGAGCAAUUUUGUCCCAUUCACUACUUUAUUGUUGAGUGGUUCAAUAUUUGUGGCUGAAGACAUCAUAUAUAUAAUAUAUGCGAACCUUAUAUUAUUUUAAUUUAUUUCUUUUACAUGAACUUGGACUUUAUUGAUUCUGGUCUAAAUUAUACACCUUAACCUACCCACAUUCACAAUUCACUUAUGAACAUCUUUUUUCUUAAAUAUCAAUUAACCUUGGAAGAUAUAUACAACAAAUAUCAAGCUAUUAAGGUCAAUAUCUUGUGUUCAUAACACAAUAUUUUUUUCUCAACAAAUCCUUAAAAUAUAUCCUUAACUAUUUUUAAUUAAAUAUUUUAAAACAUAUAUUUUUUAAUUGUUUUUUAUCGUUUAAUUUUUUAUUAAUUAAGUGACAUGAUUAUUAUUUUUCUUACCAUCUUGCGGUUAAUAUAAAAUAAAACAAUAUUAUAGUUAAUGUAAAACAAUAAGCUUAACUAACUUUAUUUUUUCAUAAAAGAAUUAUUAGAUAACGAGUUUAUCAUGUUUUUUUAGUUGUAAUUUUCAUGUCAUCAUAUACCAUAAAAAAAAGAUCAUCACCAUUGAUAUAAAUAGCAAUUAUCAAACACUUUUUCAAUGAAAAUAAUAAAAAUCACUUUUCAAUUUACAUUAAUCACAAUUUAGUUUUAUAUUAAACACAAAACAUCACAUUUUUAAUAUGUGGAAACAAGUAGCAGAGUAAUGGAAUAAAAUAAAAGUAAUGUAAACCACACAAAAUUAAACAAAAAAAAAAAUUCAAUUUUUUUUUUAAUACUAUUUAAUAAAAAUAACCUAGACCUUGAACCCUAAAUUCAUAGUAUUUUGAUUUUUAAAAAAAAUAAAUUUUGUCUUAUUUUUAAAAAAAAAUAUACAAUUUGAUCUGUUUUAUUAAAUUAACAUAAAGAGGAGGAAGUGGUGACAUGAUGUGACAAAGUUAUAAACGCACGUAUAAAAAUGUUAUAAAGUAUGAUUUAAAUUAGUAAUUACAAUUCACUGCAUAAUAAUUUAAAUUUUAAUAUUUUGAAACUUAACCUUAUAUAUUUUAAAUAUUUUUUAUGGCAGCAAACUUUGAAAAUAGUUAUUAAUUAUUAUUAUUAGUGGUAGUUAUAUCUUAUAAAAAUUACAACACAAUUUCCAAGUAAAAUCAUACUUAGUCUUUGAAAAGUUUGACUUUUCCUUCUCUCUGAAGGAAUGAAGGAUCUAUUUAACCACUCCUACUUUACCCUACCUGAAACACACAGAGCCUCAACUCGCUCAAAUGGAUUUGGUUGUAAAUUCCUUGAAUGCAACCACCAUUGCACUCGCUUCUCUAAUUCUCUUCUGUUUCUUUCUCUAUGGUCUCUUCAAAUUUUCUCGAGGGAAAGAACCUCCCACAGUUGCAGGUGCAUGGCCAAUACUUGGUCACCUUCCAUUGAUGAGUGGUUCAAAGUCACCCCACAGAACUUUGGGUGCUUUGGCCGACAAAUAUGGACCCAUUUUCACCAUCAAACUUGGUGCGAAAAGGGCUGUGGUAAUCAACAACUGGGAAAUAGCAAAGGAAUGCUUCACCACAAACGACACAGUCGUUUUCGGUCGCCCCAAGCUUGUUUCGGUGGAACUCAUGAGCUACAACCAAGCCAUGUUUGCCUUAGCACCCUAUGGUCCCUAUUGGCGAAAAAUAAGAAAGCUUACAAUUUCAGAGAUUCUCUCCCCUCAGCAAGUGAGGCAGCAACGUCAUCUUUUUGAGUCAGAGGUUCAAGAAUCGAUCAAGGAGCUCUUUGACCUUUGGCGCAGCAACAAGAAUGAGAGCGGCUAUGCCUUGGUGGACUUGAAGCAAUGGUUUUCUCAUCUGAUAUUCAACAUGGUCCUUCAAAUGAUUACAGGGAAGCGAUAUUUCAGUGCAGCAACUGUAGACGAUGAGAAGGCACAGAGAUGUGUGAGGACUGUGGAGGAGUUGAUGCGUCUGAUGGGGGUGUUCACAGUGGGAGACGCUGUUCCUUGGUUGAGACGGUUUGAUUUGGGAGGGAAUGAGAAGGCUAUGAAAGAAAUUGCUAAAGAGUUGGAUAUUAUUCUUGGUGAGGAGUUAGAGGAACACAGAAAAAGGAAGGGUUUGGGUGAAGCUAAAGAUUUCAUUGAUGUGAUGAUUUCCUUGUUUGAUGGAACAAUUACUGAUGGGGUCGAUGCAGAUACCGUUAUCAAAUCCACCAUACUGGUAUGUAUCUUCAAUAUGAACAUUAUAAUCCUUUCAAACUUCAACCGUCUAGUAUUUUAUUUUUCUUUCUAAUUUUGUUUUCUGCAUGGCACAGUAUAGCAUGGUUGAAUAGUGUAUAUUAGGGAUAACGAUCUGAGUCAACCCAUUCUAGAUAGAUAUGUCCUGUUAAAAAGUACAGAUUAAUUCUAUUGGUUUAUCUCUAAGGAAAAGAUUUCUUUAACAUCCAAAAAUAAAAUACAUACAAUUUAACAAAUCAUUAUAAUAAUAUUUUUAAAUUAAAAAAUAAUAUAACAAUGUUCUGAUUUUCAAUAAAAUUUGAAUUUUGAUUAUAAUAAUAAAUUAUUUAAUAAAAUAUUUUAUUAAAUAUAUACAUUUUUUUAAAGGUAAAUACAUUAUUACUAUUAAUUUGAAAAAUAAUAUAUUUAUAUAUAUAAUACAACCUUUAAAUUUUAUUAUAAAAAAGACUAAGGUAUUUUUUUUUUUUGAAAUGUCCCUUUUAAUUCAAUUUUAUUUUUUGUUGACAAAAAAAAUAUACUUUUUAGAAAGAUAAAAAACACCAUUUAUUAAAAAAUCAUUAUUGAAUUUUGUGAGGGUGAUAUAAAUUAGGGAUUGAGUGUAGAUUCUUCCUGCAUCUCCAUGCCUUUCUUCUUGCAUCCCAUUAUACAAAAAAUACUCAAAUUAUGCUUUGGCAUUUUUCUUUAAUUCCGAAAUGUGACAUUUAAUUUGGAAGUUAAAAUUUGUUUUGGGAUUGUACAUUAUUUCAGAUUGUACAAUCCAAAAUACAAAUUUGUAUACUAGAUUAUUGAAUUUGAAAUAAAUAAUUUUACAACUUUUGAGAAUAAGAGGUUGCUAGAAGAAAUAAAUAAGAUGAAGAAAUUAAAUAAAUUUAUGAAUUAAAAUUAGUUUAUAUAUGAAUUAAAAAUAAUAUUUUAUGUAAAUUGAUUUUAAUAUAUGAUUUUUUUUUUGUUUUAUAGAAGAACUUGUGAAUAAAACCAUAUUCUUAAUUUGUUUAAUUUGCAGACACUGAUUGCAGGAGGAACUGACACAAGUAGUGUUGUUCUUGUGUGGGCAAUGUGUUUGAUUUUGGGAAAUCCUUUGGUAUUGGAAAAAGUGCAAGCCGAACUAGACAUUCAUAUUGGAAAAGAGAAAUGCGUAAGUGAGUCUGAUAUGAGUAAGUUAACAUAUCUUCAAGCCAUAGUCAAAGAAACUUUAAGAUUAUAUCCUCCGGGUCCUCUUGCGACACCUCGUGAAUUCACAGAGAAUUGCACUUUAGGUGGUUAUAAUAUAAAAAAAGGAACUCGACUAAUCACAAAUCUUUGGAAGAUUCACACAGACAAGAAUGUUUGGGAAGAUCCAUUGGAGUUCAAACCUGAAAGGUUUCUUACAACUUACAAAGAUCUCGAUGUUAAAGGUCAUCAUUUUGAGCUAAUACCAUUUGGAGGUGGUAGAAGAAUGUGUCCAGGAAUAUCCUUUGGCCUUGAAGUAGUGCAAUUCUCUCUUGCUAGUAUUUUGCACUCUUUUGAAUUUUUAAGUUCAUCACCUGAUCCUAUUGACAUGACCGAAAACUUUGGAUUAGCCAACACCAAAGCCACUCCACUUGAGAUUCUUAUUAAACCACACCUAUCUUUUAGUUGUUAUGAAAACAACUAAUCCAUGUGCUAGUUAUGCGGUCACAAUUUAUUUUCAUUCAAAGUAUCGUUCAAAGUCUUUGCUAUCUUUGUAUUUUUGUUCAAAGUGCUUGAUAUAUUUUAAUUUUCCUUUAAUGUACUUGAUAGAUUUAUAGCUUAUCUUUGUAAACUUUGAAACUCUUUCAAAUAUAUCAUUAAUAAAAAGAAUAAUUACACCGCAUAUUCUCACUACUUUAUUCCUUCUUUAUCGAUAUUUUCUUUAUAUUUUUCAAGUCCCUCUUAUGGAAAUAAAUCUUUGUAAAUUUUUUUCCUCUAUACAUCCUUCCAACUAGUAAGGCUCUGAUUUGGAUGUGAUUUGAAUCAUUCUUUAGCUUUUCCUGUCAAUGAGAAAGGAAAUAAACGUAGAUAAACAGUUUCAAUAUCACCUGAUUGAAAGUCUAUUGUUCCUACCAAUUCAUAAAAUGUAGACAAAUGUGUAUAUGGAUCCUCAUGGUCCAUUGUUGUAAAUUGAUGGGUACUUAUCAGACUGAGGAAUGCAGGUUUCAUCUCCAAGGCGUUGGUGGUAGAAGGUAUUGCAAUACUAGAGAAAUGAUGGCCUCUGGUGCAUAGCAUAAUCUCCAAGUGUUCUCUUGGGUUGUUGAUGACUUUUUACGGCAAGUGCACUGUGUUUGUCAGAAGUAAUAAUUGUCCCUAAGAACGAAUAUCAAUCCACAAGGAACAAUGAAGUGAAUUAUUGAGUACAAAAUUCGCUAAAUAUAACAACAGAACAAUAAAAAGAGUUUUGAAGUGAUUGUGUUGACACCGAUCAAUAAUAAAAUAAACAAAGAAUUAGUUGCUUGAAUUGAAAAAAUAGGGAUUAGGUUUCAUUUUUCUCACUCUCAUGUAUUUUGAUUAGGAUGUUAAUAUUAAGUUCUUUGAUUGAAAUUGAUGGCCAUAAAAAAUUCAUUUUUAUCGAUCCCUCGCAUAUAAAAUCCUUAAAAAUGUUUCCUAAAUAUCGAUCCCUUGCAUAUUUAUAAAAACAACUUAGAAUCCCAUUGAGACGUUAAUGUCAAUUAACAUUUCAAGUUUAUCCUUAACACUCAAAUAUGUUAAGUAUUGUUGUUCAGGUUUGAACCCUAAAAAUACCUCUCGGUUAGAUUUAAGACUAUCAAUUUGUCACGGAAAGUUAAAAGUAAAACAACAAUACCAAUAAUCAAUCAAGAACUUAAUAUUAAUAUAUAAGAUAUCACCUCAAUAUAUAAGAGUUUGAGCAUAUUACUCCAAAUCCAAAAUGGUAAAAUUAGCCACGCAUACUUCUAGCACCUUCCAUUCUCCUAAUUGGGUUACAAUUCACUCUAUGGUGUUUUCCUCUCAAUCUGACACAGUAGGAUUGAGCCUCUAGCCCCCUAUUUAUCCUAAUUUUCUAGGGUUAGGUCGCUUCUUAUGUCGUGCUAAUGGGCUAAGUGAUAAAACAUAAAAAAAACCCCAAUCUUUCUGACGUAUUCUCGCUCAAGCGAGAUACUCUUGUGGCGAAAUAGUCUUUUUCUGCAUCUCUUUGCAUUCUAGGACCUACCUUCUAGCUUUAUCUUUUUAGCUCAAAUUAUUCUCCUUUACUCCAAAUCUUCAAUCCUCCCUAAAAAUAUGCAAUUAACACCAAAUUUGGGAAUAAAAUUCUCUUAUUCAAAUAAAGAUCAUACAAAAUGUAUAAAUUCAUAAAUUAGAGAUUAUUCUAUAUGUAAAUUAGCAAUAAAUCCUCCUAAGUGCCUAAAUUUUAAUAUGAAAUAUUACUGAAAUUAGACACUUAUGAGUUGUGGUGGUGGUUUUUUUUGGCUAUAAUGCUUUCUUCUUGAAAAAUAUUAAUGGGAAGGAAAAAAAUGGUUAAGGAUUCUUCUAUAGUCUCUUUGUUUUUCUGUUCUCUUUCUCUCGUUGUUUCUUGUAGCUGCCUUUUCAAUCUCUAAUUUAAACAAUUGAGGAUUCUUCUAGCAGAAACAAUUUAAGCCAUAACAGUUCUUGGAGUUAAUCUUUAAAAGGUUUAAUUUGUAUUUUUUAGAAGUUCACAGUGUAUAAAAAAAUAAUUUUCUUUAAAAAUUAGAUUCAAAUUGGUUCUACAACAAUGUGCUUUGAUAAAAGACUUUACUUUUAAAUUGUAAAGCAAGAUUCAAAUCAGCUUUCAAUAACCGUCUAUUUAAACAAUAAAACACUUUAAAUCACAUUUUAAAAUCAAAUUUGAUAUGAUGAUGUUUAAAACCAGUUCCAAAACGAGAUUUCUUAUUGAUGGUUUGUUUUUAAGUAUGAACUUGUCAUCAAAGACACCAUCCAGUUUUUAAGUUUGAUUAAUUUCUUUAGUUGUUAGAAGUAAUGAAUACGAGAGAAGAAUAACACACAAUGAUUUAUACUAAUAUGAGAGAAGUAGUGUAUAUACUCUUACUUACGAUAAAGAAUUAUAAAAAUUAAAAGAAGUAAAACUUGACGAAAUUUGUACUUCCAUCAUUAUUUUUUCCUUUAUCACUUAUUUCUAUACUCUUUCUUUAACAACAUUGUAAUAUAGCGAUUUUUUAUAACAAAAUAUGAAAUAAUUUUAAAACGUGUGAAGAAAACGGUAUGGAUGAAUGGAUACGUUAUAUUGAUAAAUAAAUAAACCACAUGCGUUGGUUUUAAUCAAGACAAUAACUUGACAUAUACAUACGUAUCUCCAAAAUUUUAUUUACCCAAUUCUUACCAAAAAUAUUUUAAAAUAAUUAAUUUGUCGUCGUAUAAAUUCUCACUUCUAAUUGAAAAAUGUAUGAGCAUAUUUAUUUUCCAAUUUGUAACAAAAUUUACGAAUUUAUAUAUAAUUUUACAAUAAUUAUUUUUUAGUUUAUUAACAUGGCAUAAAAUUAAAGUUUUCGUUUUCUUUUAUUGACAUGUUGGUCGAAUAAGAGGUUUUUUUUAUUUUAUUUUAAUUUCUUUAAUUAUUUAAUUACCUAAAUUAUUUCAAUCAACACAACAAGUAAGAUAGGACGUUUAUAAAUAAUUAUCAGAAUAAUAUUUCAUUAAGUAAACUAAUUCUUAAUAUUUUAGAACAGUUACCAACAAGUAUCCACAGUUAAAAAAUAAAAAUAAAAAUAUAAAUUUAAUAUAUUAUAAAAAAAUAGAUUUGAAUAUUACACUUAUCAAAAUUACUUUCUAUUUUAGUUUCUAAUUUUUUUUAUAGACUCUUGAAUUAAAAAAUUAAAAAUAUUUUUUAUUCAUCCCAAUCUAAAAGUGAUAGUUUAGUCUUUUGAAAUUUAAAUACUAUUUUGAGUUAUCUAAUUUAUUAAUAAUUGACAAAUUCGUUAAUAAUUAUAGAUUCAAUUGAAAAAAAUAAAGAAUAAAAAAAACAAAGCAUCAAUGACAUAAACUCAUAAUAAUGAAUCCAGACACUGAAUUACAAAACAUUAUUUUAUUUAUAUGAAUUCGAUUGCACUUUCUUUAUAAUGAUAUUUCUUUUGAGUUUUAAUUAUCUAGAAAUUUUCCAAACAAUUAUAUGUGACAAAGCAUGAACAUGAAAUCAAUAACAGUAUAUAUGAAGUUGAAUGUGUAACGAUGUGACCAUUUUACACUAUCAAUCUAUUCCAUGUUUUUCCAUUACAAUUUGAUUUGUGUGCUUAAAGUGAUCAAUCAUGGAUGCAAAUAAUGAUGAAAUAGAAAUUAAUAUGCUCAUAAAAAAAUAAAGGCAACGUUGGUGUACCUAACAUGGUGGUGACGAACUACAUCAACUACAUUAGAACAGUUCUUUUAUGGGUGGUGUGUGUGCUGCCUUAUGUGAAUAAGGAAAAUUUUACGUAUAUAUUGUGGAGGUAGGAAAAGUUUUAUCUACCCCACGGGACGCCAAAUGUUCUAGCCAAGAGGGAUGUCUCCCUACUAAAGCGUACAAUUAAGCCAGAAACAAUGGUUUCUAGCCCUAAAGUGUUUGUCAGGUCAUCUUCUUUCCCUUAUAUAAGUUAGUGCUCUCCUCCCUUUUUGUAUCCCUUCUUGUUUUGAGUUAUAUUUUCAAAUUGAUUACAAUCACAUAUAUACGGUCGAUCUCCAUAAUCAACGCACUCUCCUCUUUAUGAAAAAUAAAUAAGAUCUUUUUCAUUAAUUUCAGAGAUAGACUAUUUCACCACAUCAUCGGUCUGAUAAGUUCAUAACCAUUAUUUACAUAGAUCGACACAAAAACCAUUUCACCAUGUGAUAACACUCGAUCCAUGAUCUCACAAUACCAAAUUAAAAGAAUUCUUAAUUUUUUUUGAAAAUAAAGCUAUUUUGAAAUUGUUGUUAAAUUAUUUCAUCUUAAUAUUUAGGUCUUAUUUUCAAAAUUUGAAUUCCAACACGAUUUAUCUAUUAAUAUAACGUGUCUUAAUUUUAAUUAUAUCUCUCUAUACUUUUUUAGUAAGUUUUAAAAGUCUUGUCAUGAUUUGUGCGUGUUAUCUUUACUCGGGGACUCUUUGUAUCUUUCCAAUGUUCUCAUAUGUCCCACAAGAGACAAAGUCUCUUUUCAAUUAUUUUAGCAAUAAUAGAAAACUUACUUAUUUUAAAAUACUAUUCAGUAUUAUUAGAGCAUUCUUAUUGGGGUAAGUCAGGUACUACUUUAAUGUUUAUGUACUGUUUGAAUAAAUGUCCCAUUGAAAAAUGUGAGCAUUUUUGUCCCAUUCUUAACUUUAUUGUUUGGUAGAAAUUUUUCGUCCGGAAGAGUAAUUAAGUGGUGCAGUUUCUACCUAACUCUCCGGCCACCUGUUUAAUGCUAAUACGUCGUCAUUCGUGCUCAUAUGUUGAUGCGAAAAGAUUUAUUUCACAUUAAAAACAUAUAUUUAACAUCACAUUAUUAUAAUAAUAUAAUCAGGUUUAAAAUUAAAAAAUAAAUUAAAUAUAUGUUUAAUAUGUCUCAGUUUUUUUUUUCAGAAAAUGUUUUUUAUGAAUGAUUUAAAAUGUUUUUUUUCUUAUUUUUAUAAUUAUAAUAUAAUCUUUUAGAAUAAAAAUUUAAUUUUUAAAAAAUUAAUAUGUUUUUUCUUUUAAAAAUUUUGUUAGAAUUCUAAUAAAAUUGUCAAAAAUUUUAAAAAUAUAUUUAAGAGACGUAUUUAACUUAGUUUGAUAAGUAAGAGAUUUGUGAAAGGUAUUAAUUAAAAGAGUGGUGAUAUAUUAACACUUUUAAUGAUAAAAACACAUUUUUUUUUAAAUAAAAGUUUUCAUGUUAGACAUCAUUAUGCAGUUUUUACACUUUUUAUACUAUAAUAAAUUAAUAUUUUAUUUAUUUUUAUUUUAUUUUUUAAUUUAAAAAUAUUAUUAUAAACAAUGUAAAUGUAUGUUUUUUUAUUCACUAUAAUAAAAUCAUGAAAUAGAAACCAAUUUGUAGAAAUCAAAAUAAUUAGUUGCAAUAGUAACUAAAAAGAAAUUUGGUUUCUAAAUUAGUUUCUAUUAUUGUUAAAUAGUUUCUAAAUUGGUAUCUAAUUAGCAACUAAGGUUUUUCUACCAAAUUUAGAAACUAAAUAAUUGGUAGUUAAAAUCUUAAUUGCUAAUUAAAUAUCAAUUUAAAAACUAUUUAAUAAUAAUAUAAAUUAAUUUGAAAAACUAAUUUUGUUUACUUUCUAAAUAUUUAAUGAUUUUCUGUCUGAACAAAACUUUUCUCUAAUUAAGAAGGAGUGAUACUUUAUAAUUUGUGUUUUAUAAAUAAUUACUUUACAAUUUUGCUAUAGUGAUAUAAUAUUUAAAGUUAUCUAAUUAAUUUAUACUUUUUACAUUUAUUAUAUUAUUAUAGUUGUAAAGUAUUAUAAAAUUAUCUUUAUGUUGAGUAAAAAAUAGAUGAUUUGAUAAGUAAUUAGAGAGAUCUUUAUAAAAGUGGAGUGAUUUUUGUCUAUUAUCACUAUGAAGUUUGUUAUUGACACGAUUUUUCCAAAUUUAGAAAAUAACUAUAUUUUAAUUAUGAGUGGCGGCAAAUAUUAACUCAUCUUUUCAAGAGAGAAAUGAUAUUUUAACUAUAAAAAAUGAUUUGAUUUGAUUGAUUUAAAUAUAAAUAUAUAUUAUAAUAAGAUUGUAUAAAAUAGUAGGGUUGUUAGAAACCUAAGAACAGUGUCAGAGAGUGACUCACAAGUUAGAGAUAUUAAAAUCCAAUUUGUGUAGCCUCAAGCAUGCAUCGCAUACACAAUCUUCUCUCUUGGGUAAAAUGGAUCUAAAUGUUUCUGCAAUUGGACUUGUUUCUCUACUUCUCUUCUGUUUCUUUUUCUUUGGUCUCUUCAAAUUUUCUCAAGGAAAAGAAGCUCCCACAGUUGCAGGUGCAUGGCCAAUACUUGGCCACCUUCCAUUGUUGAGUGCUUCAAAGAGACCCCAUAGAACUUUGGGUGCUUUGGCUGACAAAUAUGGACCCAUUUUCACCAUCAAACUUGGUGCCAAAAGCGCUUUGGUAAUCAACAACUGGGAAACGGCAAAGGAAUGUUUUACCACAAACGACAUAGUCGUUUCCUCUCGCCCCAAGCUUGUUGCUGCUGAACACAUGAGCUACAACCAAGCCAUGUUUGUGGUAGCACCCUAUGGUCCCUAUUGGCGAAAAAUAAGAAAGAUUACAGUUUCAGAGAUUCUCUCCCCUCUGCGAGUGAAGCAGCUGCGUCAUGUUUUUGAGUCAGAAGUUGAAGGUUCGAUCAAGGAGCUCUUUGACUUUUGGCGUAGCAACAAGAAUGAGAGCGGCUAUGCCUUGGUGGAGUUGAAGCAAUGGUUUUCUCAUCUGAUAUUCAACAUGGUCCUUCAAAUGAUUACAGGGAAGCGAUAUUUCAGUGCAGCAACUGUGGAUGAUGAGAAGGCACGGAGAUUUGUGAGGGCUAUGGAGGAGUUCAUGCGUCUGUUCGGGUUGUUCACAGUGGGAGAUGCUGUUCCAUGGUUGAGAUGGUUUGAUUUUGGAGGGCAUGAGAAGGCAAUGAAAGAAACUGCGAAAGAGUUGGAUAGUAUUAUAGGUGAGGAGUUAGAGGAACAUAGAAAAAGGAAGGGUUUGGGUGAGAAGGUUGAUGAAGCUAAAGAUUUCAUGGAUAUCAUGAUUUCAUUGUUUGAUGGAAGAACUAUUGAUGGGGUCGAUGCAGAUACCGUAAUCAAAUCCAC
rnacentral:lncRNA from 1 species